rnacentral:misc_RNA from 1 species
GGAUAAAGUGCUGUCAUAGUAAAGUUGUGUGCAAAUUUUAUUGUCGUUUUGUGCACAAGAUAAUAGAAAGGAAUACAGAGAUAUCAUGAUCUAAGCAUUUUAUGGAGAUUGAAUAUUUUAAAUAGCGAGUGUACCCCAGCGUGAGAAUUCAGAUUGUGAUAGUAAGAUAGUAUACUGCUGAUCAUUCAUGAUAAUUUACCUACUGUCAGUCAAAGAUAUUGGAUAAGUUACAUUUGGCAGUACCACAUUACCCCGAUUAAUGAAUGAUUAGCGUGUCUUUUGUUUUUUACGUAAUUUAUUAAUGACAUUUGAAUGGAUUAUUUUUCUUCUCUCUCUGUAGGUUGUGAUAUUGACGCAUUGGUGAGAAUAUAGGAGUUCUAUGAUACUUCGGGAUAUAUGAAUUGUAACUUCGACAAGGACUUUGUUCAUGUGAUUAAAAGUUUAAUGAUGUUCUUUGGAUUAUAAACUGUGAUGUAUCCCGGAUUAACUCAACGAGGCAGAGGUGCUGGGAGGGACUGGCAUGUGCUAGGGAUGUCGAGACCAAUGCUUGUGCUCCUUGUAUUGGCAUCUUGCAUGCUUCACAAAGUAAUGGGUCAGGACAACCUCAAUGCAAACAGUCAGCAGCUCCAGUAUGAUUAUUCCUAUGGAACAUCUUAUGGUGCAUCUUACGGAGAAGACGACUUGAAAGACAGUGGCUGGGUAGAGAGAAAUAAAAAGAAGCCAGAGUUCUUCGAUGAUCUUGUUGGGAAGAACAACAAAUCGGGCUAUGUGAAUCUGGAUGCUCCUAUGCCAAAUGUUACUCGGUACUCCGCUGACAACUUGCGACUACGAUGUGAAAUUACUGGCUAUCCGAUCCCAAAGUACCAAUGGUUCAAAGACGAUUAUGUCCUUCGGAAUGAAGGCAGGGUUAGCAUUAAGCUGACACCUUGGGGCUCUAGGCUUAGAAUCAAGAAUCUAAACGCAGAUGAUUCUGGUGUUUAUGGUUGUCGGGGAUGGAAUAAUUUCGACACGAAGAACACGACCGGAGUUGUGCAUGUAAGCCCAGACAAGGCACCAGAUGCUGACAAUGACUAUGAUGGUGACAUUGACUUGUUUCCAGAUGGUUACCCUGGAGAUAUCGAUUACGAUUCUGGCUCUGUUAUUAAAAAUGAUGAUAGCAGCUUUAAUGGAAGAUAUGACCCAAACCAGAAAAUCGAAACAGAUGAGACCUCUGUUGAAGAACCUCGACAGCAGCCAUUUUGUCAGCUGUUUAAAGGCAGUGUAUGUUCAACACAUAUCGGGAACAAGUCCAUCUAUGUUACCUCUAGAUACGCUCAAGGUUUGAGGGAGGAGAAAGUCAUAGCUGCACUCAGUGUGAUAGGUAACUCAAAUGAUCUAUCAGAUAGAUGUCGGAAGUACGCCAUCCCGUCGAUCUGCCAUUUCUCAUUCCCGCAGUGUGAAAAAUCUACUGGACUUGGGGAUCCGUUAAAAAAGCGCAUGAUUUGCAGAGAUGAGUGCGAGAUGCUGGAAAACAAGCUCUGUAAAAAUGAAUACAUUGUGGCGAAGAACCAUCCACUGAUUGACAACAGUGUGCUACCCAGAUGUAACGAGUUACCAAAGUACGGGACUCCAUGUAUCAGGGUAGGCGUGCCCCUUAAAGGCUAUGAUGACAAAUGUUUCAAGGGUAAUGGGGCCACAUUCAAAGGUCAGGCAUCAAAGACAAAGAGUGGGAAGGAAUGUAGGAACUGGAACCAUAAUCCCGAGUAUCCUAUUGACCAGCCAAGAUUUAGUGACAUUUUAGGAGACCAUAACCAAUGCCGUAACCCAAAUGGAUCUAUGGCCGGACCUUGGUGCUAUACAGACAAUAACUUCAAAUAUAAAGAGUUAUGUGAUGUCCCUGUCUGUGCAACUUCUACAGAAUCGAGUAACUUGGUUGUAAUUAUUGUCCCUGGAAUCAUUGUUCCACUGGCCUUGGCACUACUGUUAGCUUUAGUUUGUUUCUGUCAAAGAUCGAGGAAGAACAAUGCUGCAAACACAAAGGCUGUUAUUGGCAACAAAGCUCAAAACAUGGAGUUAUGUCCCUUGACUGCGAAGUCGGCUUCUCAACGUGUGCGUGAAUUUCCCAUAUCAUCAGUGCGGUUUCUACAAGAGCUAGGUGAGGGUGCGUUUGGUAAAGUGUAUAAAGGCGAAGUGCUAGGGAUGUUUGGUGAAAAUACUGUUUCUAAAGUGGCAAUAAAGACAUUAAAAGAGAACGCAGCACCAAAAGUUCAGAAUGACUUUAGACGUGAAGUUGACAUGAUGUCAGAAAUGAGACAUCCGAAUAUAGUGUGUUUGUUAGGUGUAGUGAUGAAACAGGAACCAAUGUGUAUGUUGUUUGAGUACAUGUCGAUGGGCGACUUGCACGAGUAUUUGAUACAGCAUUCACCACAUUCAGAUAUGUCGGUUGUGUCAAGUGAAGAUGGUUCGCAGCGCCCAAUACUAGAUUAUGGUGAUAUGUUACACAUUGCUACCCAGAUUGCCUCUGGGAUGGAGUACCUUGCUAGUCACCACUUCGUUCAUCGAGACCUUGCGGCAAGAAAUAUUCUUGUUGGCGACAAUCUCACAGUCAAAAUAUCAGAUUUUGGGCUGUCCCGUGAUGUAUACUCAUCAGAUUACUACAGAGUGCAGAGUAAAUCCCUUCUGCCUGUCAGAUGGAUGCCUGCUGAGUCCAUUAUGUAUGGAAAGUUCACCACAGAAAGUGAUGUUUGGUCUUUCGGUGUUGUGUUGUGGGAAAUAUUCAGCUACGGACUUCAACCGUAUUAUGGUUUUUCAAAUCAAGAAGUCAUAGAGAUGAUACGAUCACGUCAAAUUCUACCCAGUCCUGAGGACUGCCCUGCUAGAAUGUAUGGACUUAUGGUGGAGUGCUGGCAUGAAAUGCCAACUCGUCGACCAAAUUUCCGCGAAGUACAUGCUCGACUACGUGCAUGGAAAAGUGAGCUCCUAAUGCAAAAUCCACAUUGGAGCUUAUCACAGAGUCAUUCGGCUCACUCGAGUUCGCACCAGAGCUCACUACAAAGCGGACCUAGUCAUCAAGGGAGCACCGGCCCCAGCAACACAACUGCCAUGACGGGGUUGACGGGGAGCAGUAACAACUCCGAUCCCGCACAGUUUAAUCAGAUGGCUCCAGCUCCACCCCCAGUCAUAACCAUGCCACCCAUGCCACCCAACAACCCUGGGUAUGGCAACCAACCUGGAUAUGGCCAGACUCAAACUGGCCAACCAGUAACAGUGACUUUUCAAGGAAUGCCAACGCAGAAACAAAUCUAUAGUGCUUUAAACACAAUUCAACAACAGAAUACCAAAAACACUCAAAUGCAGCCAACUUCUAAUGGACCUACAAAAAUUUCACCACCAGAGUCGGUCGCUAGUGGUUCAAGCUCUGGUUCAUCAACAAAUAAAGGAAAGCUUGCAAAUUCUGUCGGUACACCAUCUAAUUCUACGAUGUCUCCCCCGCCAUACUCCGAGUGCAACCGCUUCAACAAUUUUCUAAAUCAGAAUGCUUACAUUCCUGAAGCUAGAACUGCAGAAAUUUGAGAAAAUAGUAUUAGUCCAUUGUUUAGUGUUAAACUGCUAGUAGAGUUCAAAGCUUUACUAAAUGUGUGUACAAAACAGCAUGGCAGAAACGCUUAACUUUUUGACCUUGAGAUUCGUAAAGUUUCGCUCUAUGAAAUAGUGUGUAAGGCUUUACCUUGGUGUUUCGAUGCUGUGAUGGAUCUAGGUGGUUUUCAUCUAGAAGACCUGCAGUCAAAGCAGAAAGCAGAUGGUGUGUUCAUCGUAUAACGAUGUAUUUUGACGAAGAAAAAUAUGACAUUCACUUGAUGAAUGUGUCCUCAGUAGCAGUUGGCUUUCCCCUCUACAUGAUUCGAGCAUAACCUGUCAGUGUCAUGUAAAAGGAGCCGUUUCGAAAAUUGGAACUUUCCUGCAUAGACAAAUGAGUUCAGUUCACCAGAUGGAGUAGUGUUAUCCUCUGCUUAGUGCAAUACUCUUGUAACUGCAGAUAAUUUGGGAUGAGAGCAAAAGUGGUCUAAGUACAUAUUAACAAAGAAUCUGAUAGACUUCUUUUGCUUCCAAACAUAGAAAUUUAGCAGGUACAACAGUGUUGCAUUGAUGAGAAGAUGUUCAUUUGGUAACAGGAGAUCAGGCUUCAUAUUUUAACAGUCUGAAAACUUUUUCAUAAGGUAUACAAAUUCAGCUAAGACUUGAAAACGUUGUGAGUUGAGUUUACAUGAAACAUAACUCAAUAAUUUUUAUUCUCACAAUUCUGCCAUUUUAGAUUUUUGUAAACGUGGUUUUUCUCAUGGUACUUCCACUUAAGAUACUUUUAGCUGGGUAAUUGUUCACUGAUGAACAGAAUAGGUUAUGAUAUUUUCACCUUUUUUAAAAAAAUAAUUUACUUAUAUCAAAUAUGCAUGGGUUUUUCAUUUUACUAUUGGUUUGCCCCUUGACUACUCUCCCUUUAUUAGUGAAAUGAUCUAGUCUAUAACCAGUAAAUGAAAGUAGAGGGUUGAAAUAAAAACAUGCUUUGAUUUAAUAUUAUCAUUGACUGUUACCAAGUUAAAAGUAGAUUAAAGAUUUACUGUUAGUUUUUAAAUGACUGAAAAAUUUGUUCACAAGAAACAAAACUUUAUUUUAUAUUAAAAAAAAAAGAUGUGGUGGUGCUAAAUAGCAUUAUUUUGGUCUCAGAGUUGAAAAAUAUGUUUAGUAUUCAAGCUAAAGAAAACUGUUACCGAAUUACUGUUUUUGAGUUAUUGAAUUUUAUAUCCCUUAAAUGUGUUUUGGUAAGUGUUUGUUUUGGUUAGAAUUAAAGAAAUAAAAUACAAAAAUAGCAAAAAAAGACGUCAAAGAAAAAUGCGAAUUCUGCUACUGAUUUGAAAUGGCCUGAGUACUUUAGCAUUAUUUUGUUAGUCUUGAUGUUUUCAUAUGAGAUUGAUGCUUUUAUAAUAGACAUGCCGUCAGACAGCUUCUCAUUAUAAAUUUUGUUGUUUUAUGAAAUUGUAAGCUUAUAAAAUUGAUAAUCACUGGAUUAUAAUGAUGCAUUUUUAAGGAGUAUUUAAAAUGGUUGUGAUUUCAUACUUGUACCCACAACACUUGUGUACUACAACUGAACUUACAAUGAUAAGUGUAACUAAAAUAUGUUCAGUUGAAUUAAUUGGGUUGCUUACUAGACACAAGUGUACAUAUUAAGACUUCUGAUCAAUGUUAAGACAACAAUUUGGACAUUUAUGGUUAAAUUGAAGAUUGUAAUGUUCUGACCUUUUGAGUUUGAAUGAAAAUUCAUACCUGUACAGUAUAAAAUCACAACCGCUUUGGAAAGCAUGCAGAUACUUUAAUGCUUAAAAAUUACAUUUGGUGCAGUUCUUGAAAAUAUGUCAAAAAGAUAUUUAUUUUAUUAGUAGAUCUCUGUUUUGAGAUCUUGAUAGAUCCCUACAUGAGAUCUUAAUAUAUCUAUAUUUGAGAUCUUUAGAAGAUCUCUGUUAUCACUUUUGUAUGUGUUAACUAUUUUUUCAGGCUAAAAGAAUGCAUUAUGAACAAAAGAUCAUAAACUUUUGAGGUCUUUAAAAAGUGAAACUAAUAACUAUAUUAUUAUAAUUAUGUUUUGCUGAAAUGCAGUUUAGUAUGUUAUGCUACUUCUAACCUCAAAUGUUCUAGUAAUACAUUUAUUCUAGAAUUAACAUAAAAAUCAAAGUUAUGAUGAAGUGAAAUUGUUUUUACAGUAUUAUUUUUCAUUUAUCAGUUAGUGCACAUGUUACACUCAUAACAUACCAUAGGGUAAUAGGUCAGUUUAAAAUGUUUCAAGCUAUUUAAAAUUAUUUUUUUUAAAUGCCUUGGAAAUUAAAGGCAAAAAAAAAAAAACAGAGAAAAAAAGAUUUUAUAUUGGACUUAAAACUAAGAGGAUUUGAUUCAUGAAAACAAUGACCAUGUCUAAAUUUCAGUCAUUUAAAUUUCUCUUUGUAGUUUUAAAGAAGAGAUGUUUUGAUUGGUUGACUAUGUUGAAGAUUCAACCAAUGAAAUUCCAUUUUAUAGCCAGAGAUAGAGGUUGUGUAGUUUUAGUAUUCUUUGAGCUAUUUGUUGGGGCAACAGUGGUUUAGUUGCUCUCUUUUAAAGUUUUUUUUUUCUAUUAUUGAAUUUUAAACCAAAGUUUAAACUGGUGCAAUAGAACUUACAUAUGUACAGUUUAUGUUAGAAAUGUUAGUGAUUGGUUCAUGUAUGUUUUUAUGUAUUACGUAGCUCUACGCAAAGAAAAAAGGUCUGCGACCUAUUUUUUUGUUGCAUGGCUUAUAAGUUACCUGCUUUAUAUGAUUAUUUUCUCCAUAUUUCUAGAGUUGAAUGCAAAACUUUUGUAACUCACUGAAUUAUGACUGUUUUGCAUUUAGCCCUUGUGUUGUACUUUUUCAUCACAUCUGUCUGCGGAUACUAUCUCUUAAUUUUUUAAACUGAUUGAUUGUUAAAACAAUGUUAGUCAAGAAGUUCAGAUAUUAUUGGGAAAAUGAGUGACUUAAUUUUAAGCUGCAUUAAAUAUCUUAGUAUUAUUACUGAAAUGACGAUUAUUUUGAAAAGAAUUAAGAGGAUUUUUAUGUUUGAUUUUAAAAGUUUUAAAACUUGAAUGGAAAACCAAGGUAGGUUAACUUUGGAAAAAGAAAUCAUUGGAAACCACAUUUUCCUCAAACUUAUAUUUGUUUUUAUAACUUUUAGUAAAAAUUCUGUUUUCUUCUCUCAUUGUCAUAGGUUACUUGAAAUGAAAAAUAAACUUAAAUUAUGAACUAUUUUAAUCAAGAUCAUCACACUUUAUUUUCUUGAAAGGAAAGCAGUAAUGUAUUUCACUUGCAGAUGUGCUUUACACAUUAUGAAUAUACAAGUUUGAACUACUUUAAGUUGUAUACCGGAAGUCAUUUUCAGCCAUUUAUAUUGCUUGAUGACCAAGGUCAUUUUCAGCCAUCUUGUAUUGCUUGAUGACCAAGGUCAUUUUCAGCCAUCUUGUAUUGCUUGAUGACAAGUCAUUGUCAGCCAUCUUGUAUUGUUUGACAACUGAAGUCAUUUUCAGCCAUUUUGUAUUGCUUGAUGACCGAAGUCAUUUUCAGCCAUUUCAUAUUGCUCGAUAUUGUGCCAUAUUACUUGUUUCAUUAGCUGAUUUUGGAGGGAUUUUCGCAAAAAUUGAUUGUAUUCAAUGACAAACAAGAGUAACGAGAAUACAGCUCAGUCACGGACAGCUGACAGUACAAUCACUUUUUUGAUUUUCAUGGAUUGAUUAUAAAGGGUAAUUUUAGAAAUGGUAUAUUCCAAAUGACUACAGAAUGUGACAAAAAGUUCAAGGUUAAGUUUUAUUUUGAUAAUUUCUUUCCCUUCGGCAAGUAGGACUAUAUUGUUUAACUCCCUUUAAAGAUGAACAAGCCAAAUGAAAAAAAAAAGUGCGCCCAGCUGAUUUUGUCAUUUUCCUAGCAGAACGUAGGGACGAGUUUGUAUAACUUAAUUUUGGCUUCAUGUAAAUGGUUUUACAAAGAUUCUAGUACUAGCACUUUUAUCAGUAUUCACAUGUCUGCUAACUUAAGAAAUCCAGUUUGGAAAUGCCAUUUAUGUGUUUUCAUUUAUAGCAUUUCUUGCUUCAUUGUAAAAUUCACCGCUAAAUUUCUAAAAUGGACUGGUCCAUGAACCAGUGUGGGCAAUACCAUUUAUUAUUCGAAGAGGUGUUCACUGAAAAUUUACUGACUGAACAGCGAACAGUGCAGACCAUGAUCAGACUGCACGGAUGCGCAGGCUGAUCUUGGUCUGCACUGGUUGCAAAGGCAGAAUCACUUGCCGCAAGCAGGGUAAAAGUUAAUGUCUAAAACGUAAUAAAAGAGUUCAAGGAUAAAUAGUGGUUUUAACUGGUUAAGUAUCUCUGAUAAGCCAAGCAAGUGGUAAUACAGUUUUGUAAAGGCUGAUUUACAGCAAUUUUGUAAAAUUUAAAACUUUAAUAAUCUUUUUUAAAUCAUGUCUGUGAAAUGUAAAAGAAGAAACACAAUUUCUCUGUAAAAGUUUGUUUUUAAUUUGUAUUACAUACUUAAAAACAUGAGUGUGCUUUGUUUAUUGCUCAGUAUGGUGUCAGAUUUUAAACAAAAUUUCAGAAAACAUAAGACAUUGACACAUUUAAACAUUUUUAGUGUCUAUAUUCAUUCAUUAAAGAUGGACUUUUUCCAUUUUAGAAUCGUCAAAAUUUAUAUUGUUUUUAUCCCUUUCUUCAAUAAUAGACACCGCCAUGUUACAUUAUUGAGCCAGUCUAAAGUUGAUAAUAGGGUUGAGUAGGAUAAACCAUGCAUAUUAUCAUACAUGUAAUUUCAUUAGAAAAUAUAUAUUCAACAGCAGCUACAUUUUCAUUUGAUUAUUCAUGAUUUAAACAUGUUAAAGACGGUGCUAUACUAUAGAGCCAUUUUUACAGAAAUAAUUAUAUAGAAUUAGGUGUUUAUACUACUCCGUUUAUGUCUGUUAUAUGAAUACACAAUCAAAUUAUCAAUGUUUGUAAGAGCUGUUAUAAACUGAUAUUGUAUAGAUAAUGCUGAAAUAUCUGAAUACCUGAAAACUAUUUUUUUGGACAGAAUUUUUGGGUAUAAUGCCAUUUUUAGUAUUUAUCCAGGUGUUCCUUUUAAAGUAGACUGAAAGGUAGCUUUGAUUCAAUGUUUGUCAUAAAGUCAUUCACUGACCUUCUAAUAAUUUUCCUAAUAAAGAAUUUAUUUAAAAACAUGGAUUUUGGUUUGGCAUCAAUGUCAGAACUUUCUUUAGAAAAUAUCCAUUUGUAGUGGGCAAGAAAUAGUACUAACAUAUAAGAUCUAGUACAUGUAUGUACUUAAAAGACAUAUUACAAUCAUAAUAAUAUGUAGAUAAAAGUGUGUUUUAAUCAAAUAAAAGUUUGCCGAGUCAAAAGAUUUUUGAAAAAAGUGGCAAAAGUGUAAAUGUAAACAAGAAGUUAGAAGGUGAGUGAGUCACAAUGUGCACUGUAUGUUGACCUGUGCAAGCUCUUACCUGCAUUAGAAGGUGAGUGAGUCACAAUGUGCACUUUAUGUUGACCUGUGCAAGCUCUUACCUGCAUUAGAAGGUGAGUGAGUCACAAUGUGCACUGUAUGUUGACCUGUGCAAGCUCUUACCUGCAUUAGAAGGUGAGUGAGUCACAAUGUGCACUGUAUGUUGACCUGUGCAAGCUCUUACCUGCAUUAGAUAAUGUUGUUGUGAUCUUGUGUGUAUUUAAGAAAAAAACUAAGUAUCGUAAUAUGUAUGUGUCUUAAGUUGUCAUGUAACUUUUCAACUCUGUAAUAUAUACACACUGUGUUGCAUGUAAAUAACUGCAUCGCGAUAGACACAUUUCACUUUUAUUAAAAUGUUUUUAACUUUAAAA